rnacentral:lncRNA from 1 species
CAGUCAGAGCUCAGACAUAAAUAGGUCUGAAUCUGCUUUUGACUCAUAGAGGUCUAAAUUUGUAAGUUUUAGGAUUUGUCUCCCUUAAUGCAAGACAAAAUACGACUUUAAUAAGUCAAAUAUUGUUAAGCAAGAAAUAAUUGACCAGAAUCAAAAAGUUGCAAAUAUCGACUCCUACAAGUCGAUAAGUUACCAAAAUUGGUAAACUUCAAGACCCACGCAUAUUUAUAAAAAGGUCACGCAUCUAAAUCAAAUAAUGACAACAUUGAAAAACAAUGCUUUGUCUUCUAGAGAAAAAUAUGAAUGAGAGUCUAAAAAAUCGGAGAUAAUGUAAAUUAACCUUACAAUGCAACCACCUGGAGCCACA